rnacentral:rRNA from 1 species
ACGAACGCUGGCGGCGUGCCUAAUCCCUGCAAGUAGCACGCUGAAGAGAGGAGCUUGCUCUUCUUGGAUGAGUUGCGAACGGGUGAGUAACGCGUAGGUAACCUGCCUUGUAGCGGGGGAUAACUAUUGGAAACGAUAGCUAAUACCGCAUAACAAUGGAUGACACAUGUCAUUUAUUUGAAAGGGGCAAUUGCUCCACUACAAGAUGGACCUGCGUUGUAUUAGCUAGUAGGUGAGGUAAUGGCUCACCUAGGCGACGAUACAUAGCCGACCUGAGAGGGUGAUCGGCCACACUGGGAAUGAGACACGGCCCAGACUCCUACGGGAGGCAGCAGUAGGGAAUCUUCGGCAAUGGGGGCAACCCUGACCGAGCAACGCCGCGUGAGUGAAGAAGGUUUUCGGAUCGUAAAGCUCUGUUGUAAGUCAAGAACGGGUGUGAGAGUGGAAAGUUCACACUGUGACGGUAGCUUACCAGAAAGGGACGGCUAACUACGUG